GACGAACGCUGGCGGCGUGCUUAACACAUGCAAGUGGAGCGACGAACCAGGGCUUGCCCUGGUCCAGAGUCGCGAACGGGUGAGUAACACGUGGGUAACGUGCCCCGAUGACUGGGUCAACUCGGUUCAACCCGCGCUAAUUCCUGCUGUGCCCUCUCUCAUCAGUGAGGUGUCUAAAGUAAGCUUCGGCCUCCGCAUCGGUAUCCGCCCGCUGCGCAUUAGCUUGUUGGUUAGGUAACGGCUCACCAAGGCUGCGAUGGGUAGCUGGUCUGAGAGGACGAUCAGCCACACUGGAACUGAGACACGGCCCAGACUCCUACGGGAGGCAGCAGUGGGGAAUCUUGCGCAAUGGGCGAAAGCGUGACGCAGCAACGCCGCGUGGGGGAAGACGGCCUUCGGAUUGUAAACCCCUUUCAGUUGGGAAGAAGGUAGGGCGGUUAAAAGCCGUUCAGGCUGACGGUACCUAAACAAGAAGCCCCGGCUAACUACGUG
rnacentral:rRNA from 1 species